rnacentral:rRNA from 1 species
GGGCGGGGGGGGCGUGCUAAUACUGCAAGUCGAACGAACUCUGGUAUUGAUUGGUGCUUGCAUCAUGAUUUACAUUUGAGUGAGUGGCGAACUGGUGAGUAACACGUGGGAAACCUGCCCAGAAGCGGGGGAUAACACCUGGAAACAGAUGCUAAUACCGCAUAACAACUUGGACCGCAUGGUCCGAGUUUGAAAGAUGGCUUCGGCUAUCACUUUUGGAUGGUCCCGCGGCGUAUUAGCUAGAUGGUGGGGUAACGGCUCACCAUGGCAAUGAUACGUAGCCGACCUGAGAGGGUAAUCGGCCACAUUGGGACUGAGACACGGCCCAAACUCCUACGGGAGGCAGCAGUAGGGAAUCUUCCACAAUGGACGAAAGUCUGAUGGAGCAACGCCGCGUGAGUGAAAAAGGGUUUCGGCUCGUAAAACUCUGUUGUUAAAGAAAAACAUAUCUGAGAGUAACUGUUCAGGUAUUGACGGUAUUUAACCAGAAAGCCACGGCUAACUACGUGCCAGCAGCCGCGGUAAUACGUAGGUGGCAAGCGUUGUCCGGAUUUAUUGGGCGUAAAGCGAGCGCAGGCGGUUUUUUAAGUCUGAUGUGAAAGCCUUCGGCUCAACCGAAGAAGUGCAUCGGAAACUGGGAAACUUGAGUGCAGAAGAGGACAGUGGAACUCCAUGUGUAGCGGUGAAAUGCGUAGAUAUAUGGAAGAACACCAGUGGCGAAGGCGGCUGUCUGGUCUGUAACUGACGCUGAGGCUCGAAAGUAUGGGUAGCAAACAGGAUUAGAUACCCUGGUAGUCCAUACCGUAACGAUGAAUGCUAAGUGUUGGAGGGUUUCCGCCCUUCACUGCUGCAGCUAACGCAUUAAGCAUUCCGCCUGGGGAGUACGGCCGCAAGGCUGAAACUCAAAGGAUUUGACGGGGGCCCGCACAGCGUGAGCAUGUGUUUAAUUCGAAUCUACGCGAAGACUUACCAGUCUUGACUACUAUGCAAAUCUUAAAAUUAAACGAUCCCAUCGGGUACAUGGAUACAGUUGGUGC